GAUGAACGCUGGCGGCGUGCCUAAUACAUGCAAGUCGAGCGAACGGACGAGAAGCUUGCUUCUCUGAUGUUAGCGGCGGACGGGUGAGUAACACGUGGAUAACCUACCUAUGAGACUGGGAUAACUUCGGGAAACCGGAGCUAAUACCGGAUAAUAUUUUGAACCGCAUGGUUCAAAAGUGAAAGACGGUCUUGCUGUCACUUAUAGAUGGAUCCGCGCUGCAUUAGCUAGUUGGUAAGGUAACGGCUUACCAAGGCAACGAUGCAUAGCCGACCUGAGAGGGUGAUCGGCCACACUGGAACUGAGACACGGUCCAGACUCCUACGGGAGGCAGCAGUAGGGAAUCUUCCGCAAUGGGCGAAAGCCUGACGGGGCAACGCCGCGUGAGUGAUGAAGGUCUUCGGAUCGUAAAACUCUGUUAUUAGGGAAGAACAUAUGUGUAAGAAACUGUGCACAUCUUGACGGUACCUAAUCAGAAAGCCACGGCUAACUACGUG
rnacentral:rRNA from 1 species